rnacentral:rRNA from 1 species
AACGCUGGCGGCAGCCUAACAAUGCAAGUCGAGCGCGUGUAGCAAUACACGAGCGGCAGACGGGAGAGUAACACGUGGGAACGUACCCUUCGGUUCGGAAUAACCCAGGGAAACUUGGACUAAUACCGGAUACGUCCGAAAGGAGAAAGAUUUAUCGCCGAAGGAUCGGCCCGCGGCUGAUUAGCUAGUUGGUGAGGUAACGGCUCACCAAGGCGACGAUCGGUAGCUGGUCUGAGAGGAUGAUCAGCCUCACUGGGACUGAGACACGGCCCAGACUCCUACGGGAGGCAGCAGUGGGGAAUAUUGGACAAUGGGCGCAAGCCUGAUCCAGCCAUGCCGCGUGGGUGAUGAAGGCCCUAGGGUUGUAAAGCCCUUUCGGCGGGGAAGAUAAUGACGGUACCCGCAGAAGAAGCCCCGGCUAACUUCGUGCCAGCAGCCGCGGUAAUACGAAGGGGGCUAGCGUUGCUCGGAAUCACUGGGCGUAAAGCGCACGUAGGCGGAUCGUUAAGUCGGAGGUGAAAUCCUGGAGCUCAACUCCAGAACUGCCUUCGAUACUGGCGAUCUUGGAGUCCGGGAGAGGUGAGUGGAACUCCGAGU